rnacentral:sRNA from 1 species
UAUUAUAGCUCCAACAAAUACAUCCUAUACUAUUAUUUGGAAAGUACAUAAUAAAAAAUAACCUUAUUUUUUGUAAGUAAUUACAUAGGUAUGCCAUUAGAAAUAAAAUUUUAAAGAGUUAAUU